GACAGAGGCCCCAAGCGUUAGGCGGAAUCACUGGGCUUAAAGCGUGUGUAGGCGGACGCCUAAGUGUCUUGUGAAAUCCCACGGCUCACCCGUGGAACUGCUUGGCAUACUGGGUGUCUUGAGCCACUUAGGGGUCGCUGGAACAAACGGUGGAGCGGUGAAAUGCGUAGAUAUCGUUUGGAACGCCAAUGGUGAAAACAGGCGACUGGGAGUGUGCUGACACUGAGACACGAAAGCCAGGGGAGCGAACGGG
rnacentral:rRNA from 1 species